CGUUAGCUGUGCGCAGCACAUGACUUGUAAAAAUGAUGCGUAUUUUGCGCGGAAUGCUUUCGGCGGCGUUCCAUGUAUAUUAUACUUUCUUUACUUUUCUCCAACUCAAAACAAACAACUUCUCAUGAAUACAGACUUACAUGUCACUGGAAUGAUCAAUUCCUUCGAUAAGAUCGGCUUCAUCCGCGCUGGUGGCAGAAUCCGGGCCAGACGAGUGGCUGGACUCUUCAUCCGACGCUGUAGUUUGCUGGAGAGCUUCGCCAGAUGUAAAAUAGUUUGGCGCGACCAGGUUUUCGCGGCUCCUCAACUAAUGUGUGGAAGUGUGUCAAAGGUGUGUGUGGUGGGUCCGUGUACGGAUCUGGUAAUUGGAUUUUCCGUUCUGAAACGGGUAUUGAAAAACAAAAAACGAGUGGUUAUUUGAUUUUCGUUUUAAAAUACAAAAAUUAAAAUUGAAAUACAAGGCGUUUUUCCUUUUCAUGAUCAAAAAGGGAUAUACGAUUUUUUUUUAAAUGCUUUGAUUUUCGUUUUAUAUUUAGAAUAACAAGAAAGUAAAAUCAGUAAGAGACAGAAACGAAAAAAUGUCCGUUUUUUCAUUUUCUGAGACCGGAAGUGGUCAUCAGCAAGUGUGGAGCCAAACGACAACAAGAUUCUCAGAGGGCGGAGCCAGAGAGCAGUGAUUGGUCAGACCAUAGAUAAUAUAGAAGACAGCGCGCUAGCGUAUCUAGUCUAUGUAUAUCUAUGGUCGGCACGUCUGGUAGCAUCUCUGGCUGCUGUUGAUCUUGUUUUUGGAGUAAAACACGGUAAGAAGAUAAAUACUUCUAACCAGUAGCGUUGUUUUGUUGUACGUUAAGUCAGCGACUUGUGAAGAGUUGUGUUUUGUCGUGUUUGAGCAGUUGGUCCGGACGCGUUAGCUAGCUAAGCGGCUAAGUUAGCUAGCGGGCUAAUUAACACAGGUGGCUAACUUACCGCUGAACACCUGUGUUAGUUGCUGCAGCAGCUGUCCUCAUUAUUAGAAUGACCUUCUCAACCUGUAUUUCUCUGCUGUGUAUUUUAGCUUUUAAAAAAGUUAUUUUACUUUAAGGUUAACUGAAACCCGUUCAGCUGCACUGAAGUUUAACAUUCAGCUGGUUUGAAUUAAACCGCGCUUAACUUAACAUUGCGCAACAUUACCUCUCUGAAUCUCCAUAAUUUCAUUAAAUUCCUUCUCUCUUCCACUGCUCAAGUUCAAUCCAGUAUAUAAAAUGACAUUAAUAGUGAAUAAACUAACAACCAGCCAUUGUAUUUAUUUAUUACUGCAUGUAUUUGUAGUAAAACAUGAGUUGAAACAUCCUACUUUUGGAUCUAGAACUGCACAAGCCGUUCAUUUUCAGUCACCUGAUGAGUUAAACUCCCCUUUUUAUGUGAGGUUGAAGCAGAAAGUCUGAGUUAACAAAGAAAGUUCUUUAUAAUUUGCGAUACCUGUUAUCUCUGACUGAGGCUUUAGUUUUUGUUGAGCUGAUUUACACGUAGAAACUUUGUUCAGGAAAAUUUCUCAGUAGCUCAGAGGACAGGCUGCUUUUUACACAACCUUGUAAGAGAAUGUCUGUCAAUGCUUUCAGCAGAAUUUAGAAACACAACACUUCCUAAACAGAUAUUUUGAGGCUGUGAGGUUGAACGUUUGAGAGUAUAUCAGUGUGUUUGUUUGUGGUCUUUCUGUUUCUAGGUGGAAGCUGAAUUAGUGAGGAUGACUCCUGCUCCUGUCAUCUCUAAGCUCCUCACACAUCUUUACCUGCACAUGAGGAAAAUCACUCCUGUAGAAUGCAGAUGUUCAGAGGGAGAUGAUGCCACAUCUGGUCCAGCUGAUGGAAGGUCUUGAAGUUCUCUGACUGGCCUCGACUGAAGAUGGUCGUCUCACUGGAUUUAAGGUUCAGAUGCUCAGUAACAAACUCCACCAAUGAGCCAACAGGGAAGCUUUAGGUUUAUUAAAUGUUGCUAUGAAGGUAUCGCUGUUUUUCUUUGUGAAUGCAAUGUGCUCCAACUGAAACUUGAAUUAGAACUUAGAAGUAAAUCCUUCCAUCUGAAAGGAUUUAGUUGCAUUAAUAACCUCAUAACAUUCUAAUUUUUAUUCCAGUCUUGGUUGGAAAUAGAAUCUCUGUAUUGAUUCAGGUAAAAACUGAACUUCACAGCAUGUUGGAGCAAAACAACCAGAUGAAAACUGUGAUGGUGUUGGAUUGUCAGACCGUAAUGUUGCAGCUCAAAGCAGCUUUUCUAUCUCAGUUCAUUCUGACAUUCAGCUAUGAAUCAACACAGCAGAUGGUGAUCCAUGCUGUGGAAGUCUCACAUCUCCUGAUUUAAUGGAGCUGCUUUGCACUUUUUACACUGUUUAUUCACCAACACUUUAUUUAAUAAAAGUCCCAUCUAGUUUUUAUGAGGAAUGUGAUGUUUUAAUUUCUCUGUGAAUAACUGCAGUCUAAUGCAACAGCUGGAGUUGUAACAUCUGUCCUGAUAUUGAUCAUGAAGUAUUGAUCAGAAUACUUAUGGUCAGCAGUCAUCCCUGAAGUUUUACAUUAAAAUCUUUACUUGUGUUGUGAACUUUGGUAAGAAGCAGAAACGUUAGCGUUGCCAUGGAUACAUGAGUGUUAAAUUCUGUCCAUGUUUCCAUUUUGGGAAAUGCAGUCCAGUUCCAGAAUGUGGAGGAAUUUAGUCUCACAAUCACAGACAACAAAUAUUAUCUGAAAGUCGGGUUAUUGUUGUUUAUCAGCACAAUACAAAAAGAUUAAUGUUAGAAAUAUUCCAGUUAAGACUCUAGAAUAUCAUGAUUUAUGUAAAUUUACCUCAAUAAUAUGAAUGUUCAGGUUAAGAUUGUACAGUGAUAUUUAUUAUGUAAGUUUAGCUGAUUAAAGUUUAUGACUCUGCACUAAAAUAUUAUUUAAAUUGACAUCAUUAUUAUAAUAUUUAGGGUCAGACCCUACAGUAUUGAGAUUAAGAAAUCAAAUAUUCUAUAAAAUGUAAAUACACUGAACUCAUUUGGAUAUAUUUAAGUGAGACUCUACAAUAUUAUUUGACACAAAUCUAUCUAAAUCAAAAUUUUAAUAAUUUUCACGCCAAACAUUUACUGGACUGAUUUAAAUAUUAAAAUCACUCCUUUCUAAUCCUCUGCUGUACGUUCAAACCUGAGGCCUUAAAUAGAAACACACAAGUAUCUGAUUGAAGGAACUUCUGUAGAGUCCUGGUUCCAGAACAUGAUGAUAGAAUUAUAGACAAACUUUAACAAAAGCUGCCUGAGAGUUUACAGGUUUUUAUGUUGGAUUUCUUCAGUAAUUUAAUGAGCGUUAUCAGCAAUAAUCAAGUGUUCAUUUGAUGAACUUCAUUUCCUAAAACAUCCAGAAUUGGAGCUCAUAUCUUUGGCAGCUGUAAAGUUUCUGCUCCUUCAAAGUUCACAACACAAUGAAUUAAUUCCUAAAACACUCUCAAUGCUGGAGAGCGUUUGAUGCUGAAGCAGUGACCAGUUUUUCUGUUUCUUCUCUGGAGAUGCACAAUGAGGGACGUCUGCAGCGACUGAGAAAGAGUCUCACCACAUCCUGACAUGAGGAAAAAGACUUUAUUGAAGACUACAAUGAGAAAAACUAUCAGACAGCAGACGGCUGCAUUCAAGGUGAGCUCUGAACAUUUGAUCUGGAACAGGAAUUCAAUAACGGCAGCAUGAGCUUCAUUUCAGUCUGUAGCUGCUGAAUUCAUGGAUGAAUCAUCUGGCACUAGAGAGGAAGACCAUCAAACAUCCACGUCAGCUGAUGGAGGUCCAAGAGUCUCACCAAACAAACAACCUACAGAGUGAAGACCUCAAAUCUGAUUGGACGGCCUCCUAUUCAGCCACAUUUUAGGCUGUUAGAUUGUUCCAGAUAAGACAAGUACAAGAUUCUUCAGAGCCGUUCUACCACGAGCCUGACAGGAAGAACUCCAACAGCUACUGAAUGUUCCUGUGGUUCCCUCAAGGCUACAGGAGGAGCCCUACGAGGACGAGCCGGUCCACCUGAUGGCGGCCAGUCGCUGCAGUUCAAAGCCAACACCGACUACGUGGACUUCUACUGGACCACAUGGAGGCCUUCAAACUGGACCAACAAGUUCAGCGACUCCCCGACUCGUGGGUCUGAGGACGCCACCGAGCCUCGGCCCAGCCGGCCUCCUGUCUGUGGGUGUUUGAGUGCUGAGAGGUUUGUGGAUGCAUGUGAACGUGUCUGUGUUGAAACAGCAGCUUUUGACUCAGUAACGCCGGGAAAAACCAAGAGCUCCUUUAUUUGUGACUUCCACUAAAAAACUGAUGAAAAUAAGUUUGCUAGGGUUCUGACUGAUAACAGAUUAUUAAAUAAUGAAAAUAAUCAUUUAUAUAUUCCUUUAAACAAUCCUUUUAGGUCUACAUUUCCUUUACAAUGACUUCUUGGUAUAUGUACAAGUAUUUUGGGUGGAAUAUACCAUUAAGCCCAAUGUUCAAGGGUUCUUCUGGGAAUAUAUCAUUAAACCAACCUUUUAGGUAAAUGUUCCAGGAUGUUGGGUAGAAUAUACCAUCAGAUCAAUCUUGUAGGUCUACAUUGGAAGAUUUUAGAGUAGAAUAUUACUCCAAACCAUCCUUUAGGUCUACAUUUAAGGUGGAAUACUACUUUA